rnacentral:misc_RNA from 1 species
ACUUGUGUGCAUAGGUAACUUCUUUUGUGACGCGGUUACUACGACUUACUUUCUCUGAUA